rnacentral:rRNA from 1 species
UACGAAGGGGGCUAGCGUUGUUCGGAAUUACUGGGCGUAAAGCGCACGUAGGCGGAUUGUUAAGUUAGGGGUGAAAUCCCCGGGCUCAACCUGGGAAUUGCGUUGGAGACUGCAAGGGCUGGAGUCUGGCAGAGGGGGGUAGAAUUCCACGUGUAGCAGUGAAAUGCGCAGAUAUCAGGAGGAACACCGGUGGCGAAGGCGGCUCACUGGCCCGGUACUGACGCUGAGGUGCGAAAGCGUGGGGAGCAAACAGG